rnacentral:rRNA from 1 species
CCGGCAAACGGGUGCGGAACACGUACAGAACCUUCCUUUAAGCGGGGGAUAGCCCGGAGAAAUCCGGAUUAAUACCCCAUAGUAAUGUUGGGUGGCAUCACUUGAUAUUUAAAGAUUUAUCACUUAGAGAUGGCUGUGCGGCUGAUUAGGUAGUUGGCGGGGUAAAGGCCCACCAAGCCAUCGAUCAGUAACUGGUGUGAGAGCACGACCAGUCACACGGGCACUGAGACACGGGCCCG